CUUUCAAUUUGGAGUAAAGAACUUCAACUCAUCCGUCAAUGCCUCUUUCUCUCUCUUUAAAUAAAUCAUUGAUUGGUGAAAUUUGACUCUCCUUCAAGGUUUUAAAUCCAAAAUCCCUAUAAAUUCUAGACGAAUUAAUUGUGGAAUCCAGGGUUUUUCUAAUUUCCGACCACUUUCAAACCCUAAGUUUUGUAGUAACUGCAGCUCUGAAUCGCGGUUCCUUUUCUGUGUUGAAGUUGAACUCUUUCUGUUACUGGUGAUGGCGGCGGAGGAGAUUGAGUACGAGAGCGAUCCGGAGGAGGCGAAGUUGUCGUUGAAGAUGCGGAGGAGGGAGGCGAGCGACGAUGAAGAAGAGGCGGAGCAAGGGGGAAACCCCAGGGGGAAACCUCCGCGGAGAAUUGAGUCGGAUGGGGAAUCUGAAGGUGCGGCGGCGGAGUAUGAGGAGGAGUUGGACGAAGAAGAGGAAGAUUAUGAUUUGGAUGAGGAGUAUGUGGAGGAGCAGAUAGAGGAGGUAACUGUUGAGUAUGGAGAAGGCGGUGGUGGGAGAGGUAAAGAUGGUGUGGAGGUGGUGGCGGUGGAAAGGGAGGAGAGUGAGAAGGAAGGAACCUUUGAGGGGAAGGUAUCGGAGGAGGAGAAGCAGGGAGGCAAUGACGAUGCAGGUGAAAACAUUGACGGGGAUAAGAAUGUUGCUGAUGGGGAGCAUGAGGAAGAGAGGAAGGAAAUAGAGCCCUUCUCUGUGCCUACUGCGGGGGCAUUUUACAUGCACGAUGACAGAUUUCGAGACAAUGCUGGCGGGCGACAUAGGCGAACCCUUGGAGGAAGAAAAUUGUGGGAGUCUAAAGAUGACAGAAAAUGGGGGCAUGAUAAGUUUGAGGAGCUGACUAUGCAGGAAAGGCACCAUGAAGAGGGUAGAAGGGGUGCUAGGGGACGCUAUAGGGGUCGCAAUAGAAAUAGAGCCUCAGACCCUGGAUUUGUACAAGUGAACAAACCCAAAGAAUACACCAAUAACGGCACACAGAAUAAUAACAAUCAGGGCAGCGCUCCCAAGGGAGUUAGGGGACGAGGACCUCGAAGAUAUCAACCGACCUUUAAGAACAACAAUGACGCUCCAGCUACACAGAACAAAUACCUUGCAAAGUCGGUUGAAAAGCAUUCCCAUGUCAGUUCUCGAAGAAGUAGCGAGCCUGUAUCUAAUGCAAAACCUGAUGUAGUUCCCAGAAAACAAGUAGCCUCCAAUUUGAACAUUGCUUCUCCUCCAUUUUAUCCCACUGGUUCUUCCACAAAAGAUAACACUGCAGCCCCUAAGAGGGAUGUCCAAGCUGGCACAAUUAAUCGAAACGGCCAACAAUCAGUGGUGGGUGAGAAUUUUACUAUGUCACAAUCUACUGCUACAAUGCGAGGAAAAAAUAUAGUGGAUUCCAUUGGUCUGGACAAUCUCUCCAUUGGUGAUUCAUCUUCUUCAGUGGCCGGGAAGUCUUCAAAUACAACGCAAAUGCCACUACCUGGAUCUUCAUCUUUCAACCCAGGUCAGCCUCAGUUGAGGGGCCAAGGAAGAGGACCAGCUUCCUUCACACAGAUGGCUUACCAACCAGCUGUCUCUAAUAACCAACUCAACAGGGUUCCUCCGUCAAACCAGAUACAAAAUGUUCAGAGGAAUCCUGGUCAAAGUCGUGCUCAGUCUUCUUUGCAAGGUUCUGUUCAGCAGUUCACACAACGUGUGCCCAGUGGUUCGCAAGCUUUCUCUCCACCUAAAGCUGCUGGUGCUGUAAAUACAUCUGAAUCUGGGGAGGUGGAAUCUGCAUCAGAAUUGAAUCAGGCUAAGACAGCAUUGGUUGCUAAAGGAAAAGGGAAUGCACCAGGCAGCGCAAAGGGCUCGUUCCUAUAUGGUGGAGCUCAGGUCAUGGGAUCCUCUGGCAAUAUGGGCAGUGGCCCCGGUGAUCAAAACUUCCCAGCUUUCUUACCAGUCAUGCAAUUUGGAGGCCAGCACCCUGGGGGAAUGGGUGUUCCUGCCGUUGGCAUGGCUUUUCCUGGAUAUGUUGCUCAACCACAACUUGGUUUAGGGAGUUCCGAAAUGACUUGGCUUCCUGUCUUAGCGGGUGCAGCUGGGGCACUGGGUGCUGCUGGAGCCUUGGGUGCAACAUAUUGUCCACCAUAUAUAACUGUUGAUGGUUCAUAUAAUGCUCGGCCUUCUGGACAGGCGUCUUCUACAACAGCUGCUUCAAGCAAAGAGAAUAACAAUGCAACAAAAGUAGGUAAUGAUUGGAAACCUUCACAGAGGCCUGAGCUUGCAAACGAUGAUUUUGGGCAGAGGCAAAAGAACCCUCGCAGAUAUACAGAGAUGAAAUUUGACCAGUGAAGUAACUGGAUGGCUUGGUUGCCUUGGAAUAAGCAUAUAAUCAAAAAUCUUUAGAGUCCUUCCAUCUGUUGGGUGUAGCAGAGUUUUUGGGUGUGCUUUUGGUGCAGGCCUUCUUCAAAGGCCCAUUGUGUUCUCCAGUCGUUGAUCUGGAGUACUUUGGGCUACUGCAUUUUCUCAGAUAUUUUAGGUACUUGAAAACGCCUGAUCAUGCUGGCUUAAUUUGAGGAAGAACACUGCAGCUUGACAGGUGGCAGUUCCUUGUUCUUUUAUGCUGUUAUUGUGCAUUAGUCUUUACCUGAACCAUGCAAGAAGAUUGUUAUGGAGCUUUCAGAAAAAAGAAAAAGAAAAAAGAAUAACAAUUAUUGUUGUGCAGCUGCUGCUUGCUUUAUCAAACUUCAUUUCGCCUGUUAUUUUAUGUGGAUGUCAUUAUCUAUCGGAUUGAAGGUUUCGUCGUCUUGCAGUUUCUGGUAUUUCGGUUUGAGUUGAACUCAAAAGUUUUUAUUCUUCACCUAUUAACCUCUGUUCGUCUUUGUGUUAAUAUAUAUAUACUUGGGUUGAGAAUAAACUGCUGUCCUGGUAUUGGAUUCUUUAAACUUUUCAUCAUGAUGUUACUUUGCUAUCAGAAAUUAACUGAAGAAGAUUAUAUAUUUCUUGCUGUUAUCGAGAUUAUCAGAAUGAAACGUGAAUAUUUGAGAUU